rnacentral:rRNA from 1 species
UACAGAGGGGGCAAGCGUUAUUCGGAAUUAUUGGGCGUAAAGGGCGCGUAGGCGGCUUUGCAAGUGACGGGUGUAAUCCCUCGGCUUAACCGAGGAACUGCCUGUCAGACUGCAUGGCUUGAGACCAGGAGAGGUGAGUGGAAUUCCCAGUGUAGCGGUGAAAUGCGUAGAUAUUGGGAGGAACACCAGUGGCGAAGGCGGCUCACUGGACUGGUACUGACGCUGAGGCGCGAAAGCGUGGGGAGCAAACAGG